CCUAUUCUUUUGACAGAAACAAAUCCCUUCUAUUCUUUUGAAGGAAACAAAUUAUUUCUCGCUGCUUUUGCUAAUAGAUUUUGUUACUCGCAUCCUUGGAGGUUGAUUGGUCUAAACUCCCAUAGAAUUUCUGAAUCUGCUAAUAUCAUUUGUAUUUUGUUGAUGGAAAUGUGGACUUGGGGAUAUGCAGAAGCUGGAAGGGUUGGUUCUAUCCAGAAAGUUGCAGACAGGCUUCGUUGUUACACUUGGUCACGACUUCUUCAUCUCACUUCAAAAUUGCAAAAGCAUAGUUAUUGUGUUAACAUUGAGAAGAAAAAUCAAAUGGAUUUUUAGCUGUUCCUCCUCUUCUCUGUGACUAAGAUCUAGAAGGAGGUUUAUGCGGUGGUGGUUGUUGCAAGAAGGCCCUCGCGCUGAUAAUUUAUACGGUGGUGGUUGAUUAAACUGAUGUGACUGUGUCUACCCUCUCUAUAUUGUGUGUUGAUCGAGAUUGCUGAAGAAAAAAAAAGGCUUGCUGCAGCUUUAGAAACACAAAUUGCAGAUGGCCUUAAUAAUUAUUGUCCUAAAUUAUUAAUCCUUUUCUAGAGAUUUUAGGAUGCUCUAAGGAGGAUUGGAUACUUGAUGUUACUGGUUAUGUUGAGAAAGACACUGUCACGGAAACUGAAAAAAAUGAAAAAAAUCAGCAAGGCUAUGGAUGCGACGCUAGAAGAUUUAGAGGGGAAUAGAAUUCAUUGCACAUUAUCGGAUGACUAUGCCGUGAAAAUGUAAAAGUUUUUGGAUAAUCAUGAUUAUCACUUCCUGUGAUUGUUUUGUAAAACUUCAGAGCAAGUUCCUGGUGGUUUUCUGCAUAAUUCAGAGCUGGUUUUCAGUUGGUGGACUGAUAUUGUGCAACAGAGGUGUUUCGGUACUGCAGUUGUUUCUUCCGCCCCUUGACACCCUCUACGCAUAAAGUAUUUAAAAGCAACAAUGUCCAUCUUCUUUGGUACUACCCAUGGAGGGGUACUUCCUCACUCCCUCUGGAUAGUUACAAGUUAACCAAUGUGUGAUUUUCGGAUAAGCGCAAGAUCAAGUACUAUAUCAGUGAGGUAUGUGUUUUAGAGAUGGCUAUUUUGGUUUGUAAUGCCUGAACUUUGAUUUUGUUAUUAAUGGUCAUAGCAUGUUCAACUGGUUUUGUGUUGCUAUCUUUGGAAUGUAAAUCAUAUAAUAUAAUGUUUUUAAAAAUCAAUUUUGCAUGAAUGUAUCUAAAGACAAAUCACUUAUAGUGAAAAUCACUUUUAACCAAAAUUAAUUCUUCCCACCGUACAACCAAACACGCACGCAAAUAGGUUCUG